rnacentral:lncRNA from 1 species
GAAAGAAGCCGGCCACACAGAAGGAUUCCAGAGUCUCUGUGUCCCUGCCUGUCACUUCCCCAAGGCAGGCAACUAUUAGAGGACAAAGGCCCAGCCUUUGAAAUCUGGAAGGCUGGAUUCAGAUACCAGCUGUGUCACCGACUGGCUUAGCAAGUGACUCCAGCCUCCGUUUUCUGACCUGUAAAAUGGGGACCCCAUUUCCUAGUUUCCUUAAGGUGACCUUCGAGCUGGAUCGUGAACCAUGAGCAGUUUUUCCACUGAAGAAGGAGGAAGGGCAUUGCAGGUAGACGGAACAGCAUGUGCAAAAGCCCAGAGUCAUGGAAAGCAGAGAGAAGAGCCAGGACACGGACUUCCCCACCGGAUCCCCGGUCCUCAGGCAUUUGGACCCGGACAGCACCAUGCCGGCAGCCUUCCUGCAUGUCCGGCUGGUAGAUGCCGACUGUGGGACUUCUCAGCCUCCAGAGUCUCAAGGGUCCAUUUCUAUAAUAAAUCUGUCUAGACAGACAGG